rnacentral:rRNA from 1 species
GUACUGGAACGGUAGCUAUACCGCAUAACGUCGCAAGACCAAAGAGGGGGGACCUUCGGGCCUCUUGCCAUCGGAUGUGCCCAGAUGGGAUUAGCUAGUAGGUGGGGUAACGGCUCACCUAGGCGACAUCCCCUAGCUGGUCUGAGAGGAUGACCAGCCACACUGGAACUGAGACACGGUCCAGACUCCUACGGGAGGCAGCAUG